AGUUGGGGGGGGGGGCGUUUCCCUGCACAGCAUCGCCUAUUCUCACACUUCAGCAUGGAUACAAUGUGUGGCAUUAUGGAGCGUCUUCUUCGAAGGGAAGCUGACAUAAAGGUGGACGUGGCGGUGCUGCCCUCAAAAAGAUUUGCCUCCACGCGCAGACCUCCUCCCUCCACCGCUGCGAUCUCACUCAAGAGUGUAGGAGCUGAGGGGAUGCACACAGAAGAAGAAGAAGAAGAAAAAGGAAGAAGAAGAAGAACAAAACAAGGAAUGAGCUCUGGGAGGAGAGAGAGAGAGGAGACGGAGUGAAGGAUUGUGGGCCUCUUUGCUCCGGUCUCGACCACGGGUAUUCUUGGGUUGAUAAUACAGAUGUGGAUGUUAUUGCUUGAGAAUACGCGUAGUCGAGUGGAGGCUUUAUCAUCUACAGUGGACCCAAAAUCAGAGCUCCAUUCGGUAUACGGUGUACCACGGCAUGAGACUAGACACGUGUUAAUGUGUACAGCCAAGCUGGGCGGGUGACACAGUCAUGGGGCGGUUAUUAAUUAAGCACCCAGAGGUGACUUUUUAUGGGCUUUAUUUUGUUCAAUCAGAAAAGUUCUUUUUUUUAAUAGAACGCAAUCAGGGCUAUAGCCAAAUCCAAUUUCUUUAUCACCGUACCGGGUUUAUCAACCCAGUAUAGAAAUCCAUGUCAGUCUCUUACAACUGUGGAGGAAAUGAGUUGGUUUCGCCAGCCAGGUUCAGCCCUCUCCUCUGCAGAGGUGCUGCAUGGGGAGGACUCGCACCGUGCCACUGAGCUAAACCCCCCCACGGGCAUUAGUUUCGGAGAGCUUAACACCAAAGUCCCCAGACUCAGGCGUUAAUUCCAAACCUUCUUGAUUACAUUACCCUUGUCAGUCAGUCGUGCUUACAAGUGAGCCCAUAAUCUUAUCAGCUGAUGAGUGUCUCUCACAGCCCCCCCCCCCCUGCACCAGAUGUUCCCCCUGAGCGGAAAUGUGCAGCAAAAAAAAAAAGAAAUGCAAUUGGCUCCUCGAACGCCAACUGGAUGGUACAUUGCAACAUGUGCACAAACUGCCCAUCCCAUCCCACCGCGCUGUGCUCUACUAUUUUUGACUCCCUGGCUCGUGCCGUAGAAAUGUGUGAGAAUGUGAUGCCUGUAGCGGCAACAGGAGACAGUAACGCAUGAGGACAUGUCAAGACUCGCACCCUCAGCUGACAUCUCAGCAUUCGGGCUCAGCUGACUGGCUGUCAUGAUGGAGAC